CUACGGGGCGCACCAGUGGGGAAUUUUGGACAAUGGAGGAAACUCUGAUCCAGGGAUACCGCGUGGGUGAUGAAGAUUUACGGAUUGUAAAGCCCUUUUAGUAGGGAAAAUAAUGAUGGUACCUACAGAAAAAGCAUCAGCUAACUCUGUGCCAGCAGCUGCGGUAAUACAGAGGAUGCGAGUGUUAUUCGGAAUCACUGGGCGUAAAGGGCGCGUAGGCGGUUAUUUAAGUCCGCAAUGAAAUACCGGGGCUCAACUUCGGUGCUGUUGUGGAUACUGUUUAACUAGAGAACGGAAGAGGUGAAUAGAAUUCCUGGUGGAGAGGUGAAAUUCUUAGAUAUCAGGAGGAAUGCCAGAGGCGAAAGCGGUUCACUGGGACGUUUCUGACGCUGAGGCGCGAAAGCGUGGGGAUCAAACAGGAUUAGAUACCCUCGUAGUC
rnacentral:rRNA from 1 species